UUGCUUUGGGCUUUGUGCAAGCUGUAUAUGUUAAGCUGUUUUUUCAGUUAAUAUACAUGGUACGUAUCGGUUGUGCUGAAGCUAGUUCGAGCCGUCCAUUUUUUUUUUUUAACAUAUAUUUCCUCUUUUCUCUUCUCUCUCUAUUUCCCCUUUUGCUUUCUUCGGUUCAAACCAAUCUCAUACAUAUUGCCUCUCUAUUCAGCUGUUCUCCAAAUCAUUCUCACCUCUCUCUCCCCAUAUCUAGUCUUUAUUUAUCUUCUUCUCCAUGCCUCAUUGAGCUCGCAGAAAAAAUUGCAGCAACCACUGUUGCUGGCUCUGAUUUCUCUUCGUUGGCUCGAAUAUCACUUCCUCAAUUUCCAUGCUAUAAAUGAAUAGAAGGAGCACGAAAGUGUGUGGGGCAGGAGCACGUACAACAUUUUGAUGACCAAGGACUUGAGUUUAUAUGCAGUUAUCAUCACAAUCCAUUAGACAGAUUUUGUUGCAGAACCUCAAUGAGGAGUCAAACAAUGUUGUGGAGAGUGGAGGCGAACCUCAAACUGCCGGGACUUGAGUUUUAGAAGCAGUGGACUUACAAGAAGAUGAAGAUGCAGAUGUGAAGCCAUAGUCGGAGAGAAAAUCAGAAGCAGUGGGUUGAAACCUACUAGAGUCACCGGCAGGAAGUCUCAUGUAAGAAUAAGAAGGUGACUCAGUGAACAACGACCUUAAGGGCUAAUGCUUUAUAUAAAUGCAUUUGUCCAUUCAAGAAAGUGUUACAUUGUCGUACAGCAGCAGAGUUCUGUAGAGUGGUCGCAAAUCUUACAUGUUCUAAUGCUCAAUCCCAAAUUACAUUGAUGAAGACAAAGUUUCCAUGUACUAGAAAAGGCUCCAUGAAGAUGAAAGAAUAUUUGAGAAAAAUGAAGACUCUCAGAUCAUAUGGCACUUGCUGGGCAUCCUCUUCCCUUAUCUAAACUUGUUAUGCAAACUCUUGCAGGUUUAGAUGCAAAGUAUACUCUAAUAGUAGUUCAUCUAGCUGACAAACCCAACCUCUUCUAGAUCGAUUUGCAUUCUUAUCUAUUGAACUAUGAAUGUCAUCUUGAACACCUACAUGGUGUUCAAUCAGUUGGUAUGGCCUUUGCUUAUUUGAGUUUUCAGAUUGAUCGCUCUUUUUCUAGUAAUUAUCAGGAACCUCAAGGCUUACGCUCAUAACGACGUGGUUCUAGUUGUGGAUAAGGAAGUAAAGGCAGAGGACAUAAUGCACGUAAUGGGAAGUUUUGUCAUCUUUGUACACGUGUUAGUCAUGAAGUUGCUUAUUGCUUUUAUAGAUUUGAUUGCAACUAUUAUAAUAAUAGUUAUUCAUCCUCUCCCGCUGCCUAUUAUGCUACCUUAGACAUGAUUCAGGAUAUGGAAAGGGAUGACUCUCAAUGAUGCUUCGUGAGAAAUCGAGGAGAAAAUGAAGCAGCAAUAUUUUCACUUCUUCUCUUGAGGCAAGAUUCAUAGAGCUACCAAUUGAGGGAAUUGAACUUCUCGAGGAGCUUUUCUAAUGCUGAUGGUUGCAUCCUCAAGAGGUUGAACAUGUAAAAAGAGAACGAUUCCAUAUGAGAGCAUCAACAUUUUCUGAGCAAGAGAGGGGGGAGAGAGAGAGAUAGGAGGGAGACAUAAACAAAUAAGGAGUGAGCGAAACUUCAAGGGUUCACAAUUAAUGAGGUUUCCUUAAAAUUAAUGGCAAGAGUUAAAUUGCUCUUAAUUUAAUUGUUCAGAACUUAAAAUAUAUCAAAUACGAAUUUAGAUUUCAAAUUGCCUCAUAGUUCAUGGUCCAAAUAACUAUUUAACCCUAUAAUAAAUGGAUUUAUGCGCACAAAAUUUUGGGUUCAAAUUUAUGUGAAUAUUGAAAUUGUUUUUGCAAGAGCUAUUCUCAAUUAGACUUGAUAAUUAGGCUCAACAAUGCUUGAAUUUAAGCCAAUCAUAUAGUUAUAUAAAAAAUGGUACACACUUGUCUAAGAUUCAAAAUGAGCAACUGGGUGAAGCUUGCGUGUGCGGACAAAUGGAGCUUGUGUUGCAGUGUUUCCUAUCAUAAGAACAUAACUUUCAUUUCACGUCUCUUACCAUAUUAAAAUAGAUGAAAUCCCUAUGUAUCACAUAAAGUCUGAGAAAUGAGUAAUCUUUUCAUAGUUUAUGAAUAAUAUAACAUAAUUAUAUAUAUUGAUGAUACUACUGAAAAAGAAAAAAAAUUAGUUACUCAUCAAC